UACAGAGGGUGCGAGCGUUAAUCGGAAUUACUGGGCGUAAAGCGCGCGUAGGCGGCUUUGCAAGCCGGGUGUGAAAUCCCCAGGCUUAACCUGGGAACUGCAUUCGAGACUGCGUUGCUAGAGCAUGGGAGAGGGAAGUGGAAUUUCCGGUGUAGCGGUGAAAUGCGUAGAUAUCGGAAGGAACAUCAGUGGCGAAAGCGACUUCCUGGGCCAAUACUGACGCUCAUGUGCGAAAGCGUAGGGAGCAAACAGG
rnacentral:rRNA from 1 species